ACUACCUUGGCAAGAAGAUUCCCCUGGGUUCAGGCUGCCCCUCCCACUGACCCUUUAGCCAUCACCCCCAGCUGUGCUGGCUCUGGCGCGUUAGUAACUGCGCUUGAGUAGCUGCAAACUGCCCUUGGAUUUGCCUCAGCCGCCUUCUCGCCAAAGCAAACAGGUUACUCCUUGUGCGCCGGCUGCUGGACCCUCUUCUCUAUGGCUCUUUUGAACGGGGAUGCUGUGGUGCUCUUGUUGCUUGUGUGGCAGCAGCUCAAGGGACUGGGCCCAGCCCUGCUGGAGGAGAACAGGACCAGUGACAGCCUGACAUUGCCCCAGAGGCUUCUCAACUCCUGGGUAACUUCAUCCUCAGCUGCUGAAGGUGGCUGCUGGGUCACUUUUGUCAGUGGGACUGGAAGGGAGCCAUCACCUGCCUCCUGGAUGGCCUGCCAGCCCUGGUGUGUG